AGAGAUUUAGGAUAAUAUUAGACCAAAAGCCUUCAAAGCUUUAAGUAGGAAUGAAAAUUUCCUAAUCCCUG
rnacentral:tRNA from 1 species